GGACAAUCUGAGAUGAUUAGUCACCCUAGGUGGGGGACAUCUGGAGAAAGAACAGAAGGGGAAAAGGUGUCUACAGAGGCAAGCCACCCAACAGCUGCUCGAAGAUUUUCCCUGUUGUGGGAAUUGGAUUUGCACCCUCCAUCAGCAAGUUCCUGCUCAUCAUGCCUGGCAACUACAGACAGCUGGCCAGCAGGGAAAGUACUGGGAGAAAAAGUUAAUAGCCUAGAAAGGAACCGAAGUCCAUCAACACAGCAGCCUCUCUAAUUGAGCUGAUAAGCCAUUGGCAGGGAUCAGCAAAACCUUUGGCAGGAUCAGGGACACUGUUUUGCCAUGUUGCCCAGGUGGUUGGUUUCAAACUCAUGGACUCAAAUGCUGCCCCCACCGUGGCCUCCCAAAGUGCUGGGACUGCAGGCGUGAGUGACAACACUUGGCCCAAAUUUAUCUUUUUGCACACAGAUAUUCAAUUGUCCUAGCACCAUUUGUUGAAAAAAACUAUACUUUCCUCUAUUGAAUUACCUUGGAACCUUUGUGGAAAAUUAACUGACCGUAAAUACAUGGGUUUAUUUCUAGACAGUCAAGUCUGUUCUAUAAAUCUAUAUAUCUAUCCUUAUGCAAAAUCACAUGGUCUUAAUUAUUGUAGCUUUAUAAUAAGUUUUGAAAUCAGAAUGUGUAUAAGUCUAUCUGACUUUGCUCUCUUGUGAGAAUGUUUUGGCUAGCUAUUUUGAUCUUAACUUGUUAUGAUAUUCUACUCCAAAAAUAACUGACACUUUUCAGUGAUGCUAAUGAGAGAGAUAAUGAUUGAAUUAGAAAUAAUGAGUUCAUUUGUGUGUUUUUUUUGUUUUUUGUUUUUGUUUUUUUGUUUUUUUGUUUUUUUUUUUACAGCCUGUAGCAUAUGCUUUUGUGUAACCUCAGCUCAGCAAGGGCCCAUCUUUUUUAUUUGAAUGGGUUUGAUUUUUGGCAAUGACAUCAAGUCAUGAUAGCCAAAUCUGAUGCAUGAGAUGAGUCAUUCAGCUCUAGUACCACAAUUUAGGUGAAAAGAUGAAUAAGGAUU
rnacentral:lncRNA from 1 species